AUCCCUCUAUUCUUAUGGGACACAACAACAAUCAUCCUUUUCCUUUUGCAUUUGGCAUAGUAUAUUCAAAGAUCCCAGGCUAUGUGGGAAUUAAUUCCAUCUAGAGUGAAGCAGGAUAUUACUUUCACCACUGGGGAUAAUGAAAUGGCUGGGUGUAUUUAAAUCAUAGUAAAUUAGGUCAAUUUUUAACAUUAAUUUUUGAUUUCAUCUAAUUUUGGAUCCAUCUAAGCAGAUUUUGCUUCUUUGUUUGCUCCCUAGAAUAAAACAGUAUGCAGGCUUUAACAAGGAUUUUUUUUUUUUUUUUUUUUUUGAAGACAUACAAUGAACAUCAAGAAGUUAAAGAAGUUUUAGGGAUAAUUAGAAGACAGGAAUAAUCACAAAGUGUUUUAAAUUGUGAUUUUUUUUUCCCAUCUCCUCUCUUUUACCAAGUCAGCAUUUUUGAGAAGGAAAAAAAAAAAAAAGUGAAAUUGCUUUAGUUUUAUGGCUCUUGCCUAAGGUGGUUCAUCUCCUAGGACACAGUGAAUGAAAAAUGGAAUGUGCUUUGUGAAGCUGUUGGUUUGUAAAGAUUCUUUUAGUGCUUGAUACUGAAUCUAGUUUUCCAUCACCCUCAGAUUCAACCAUUGCUCUUAAAAGAUAUCAGUUCACCAGAUGGCCGGAGCUGCUACUGAAAAAGGGAACUUCCUACAUCUGUGCUGCUCAGCUGGGCUCAUUUCCUGUACUUCCAGGCAACUGCUGCUCUUAGCUUCUUCAUGAAGACAUCUUAGAAAUAUCCAUUUAAAAACACAGUGAAAAAUCUACCUAUUAAAAUUUCUGUGUUUACAAUGAUUUCACAGCUGUUCCUAAACGUGGAAGAGGAAAUAACUGCAGUUAAUUUCUGUUAUUUAUCAGCAAAUGUUGACUAUAUUAAUGAGAUUAGUUAGUCAUUUAAAGGUUAAACAUUAAUUGGAUGCUAUCUUACUUUAAUGUAUGUUAAUGAAUAUUUUAUAUUAUACAUUAAUAUACAUAUAAUUUUCUGCAUGCUUUCUUGAUGCUUCUGUUUAAAGUAAUAUUAACAGCUCAGUGGCACACAUUUCAGGCAAUAGUUCACAAAUUAACUUCCAUAUAAU
rnacentral:lncRNA from 1 species